rnacentral:rRNA from 1 species
UACGUAGGGUGCGAGCGUUUGUCCGGAAUUACUGGGCGUAAAGAGCUCGUAGGUGGUUUGUCGCGUUUGUCCGUGAAAACUCACAGCUCAACUGUGGGCGUGCGGGCGAUACGGGCAGACUGGAGUACUGCAGGGGAGACUGGAAUUCCUGGUGUAGCGGUGGAAUGCGCAGAUAUCAGGAGGAACACCGGUGGCGAAGGCGGGAUCUCUGGGCCGAGUAACUGACGCUGGAGGAGCGAAAAGCGUGGGGAGCGAACAGG